GCCGGUCUUUUGCUUCCCCCGCCGCAGCCGCCGCCGCAUUAGCAAAUUAGGGACGACGAUGAUCCGUCGCUUCCUCUACAUGGUCGACAUCUUCGACAAAGCCGGCUACGGCCCUCAACCCUACAGGCUACGCCGCAUCAACCCAUCACAUCUCUUCUUCCCCAAGGAUGCGCUGCCCGUGCCCCAGUCGUCGUCGGCGGCGACGGUGGUGGAGGACCUCCCCCUGCCUCCGACGGAGAUCACCUUCUGCGGGUCGACGGAGUUCAUGCGCAGGAGCGACGACAAGAUCGUCGGCGUCGACCGGACUACUCGCCGCGCCAUCCUCUACGACCCCGCCGAGCACUCCGUCCGCGUCUUGCCGUCCAUGCUAGCGCCCAAAUUCAACACCAAGGCGCUCGCCAUCGGCGACGAUCUCUACCUCAUGGAUAUGACACCUUGGCCUGACAAGGGUGACGACCGUCAGGGUCGACGGUCGGGGCAUUCUUUCGAGGCGCUCAUCCACCGUGACCGACGCCCCCUCAAUGGGGGCAGGCUGGAGGACGAGUGCUACUGGCGGCCCCUGCCGCCGCCUCCGUGCGUGCACGCCGCCGGCUACAGAGGCAGCAGCGGAGAGAUCCGUGGGUACGCGGUGGUCGGCGACGCCCACAUCUUGGUCUCCACCCAGAGCUAUGGCACCUACUCCUUCGCCACGGCCAACACCGCGUGGAGCAAAGCUGGCGACUGGGCGCUGCCCUUCUGCGGCCGCGCCGAGUACGUCCCCGAGCACGGCCUCUGGUUCGGUCUCUCCGCCGCCAACGAUGACGUCUUUGGUGCCUGGGACCUGUCCUCCACCGUCCAGCAGCAGCCAGUGGUGGCGCACCGCGGGUGCAAGGGCUUUGCAGUGCUAGAGACGCCAUACGCCUCAUACGUCGUGCACCUCGGCGACGGCAAAUUGUGCAUCGCUAAGCUGUUCAUGGUCGCGCGCCGCGAGACCUGCAGCGAAUCUUGGUGCGACUUUGACAGGGAUAGAAGGUUUUGCACCAUGCUCACCGGUGUGGAGGUGGUGCGCUGCAACGGCGACAAGCUUCACAUCAUCAAGCACAGGUCGUGCCGUUAUAGCUUUGGUGAACACUACAUCCCCACUUAUGUACUCUAACUAGUAGAGUACUCCUGCUUAUUAGUUACUCCCUCCGUCUAUUAUAUUUUGGGAUGGAGGGAUUAGUCUUUUAAUAAAUCUUAAUUUGGUUAAUCCUGCUGUAUUUUGGGAUGGAGGGAGUAG
rnacentral:lncRNA from 1 species